UAAGAUUUUCCUCUGGGCCUUUGUU
rnacentral:piRNA from 1 species